GACCCUGGUAUGGCAUAUACCGGGGCUGGCUUAGCAGCCGGGGUAGAGUUCAUUGCCCCCUACAGGAAUGUUCAAGAGGUAUAACAAAUGCAAGCUAUUCCGAUGACCUUACGCGGAGCCGAAAAACAUGGCCAGGCUGUCUCCACCCGAGACUCAGUGAAAUUGAACUCGCUGUGAAGAUGCAGUGUACCCGCGGCAAGACGGAAAGACCCCGUGAACCUUUACUAUAGCUUGACACUGAACAUUGAGCCUUG
rnacentral:rRNA from 1 species